GAAGUGACUCCUUUGAUAUUACGUGUUCUGUAGUUCAAGUUCAGUGAAUUUGAAUCUAGUCUUUCAAUUGUUGCUUAAUGAACUACCGUUUAUUUCAAUUGGGAAACGUAUAAUUUUGCAAUUACAUUCAUAGUCUUGGGGCUUGAAUUGCACUCAUUCUUCAUAAAUUGUCAAUUUUUCUUCUAAUACUCGUUCACACUGACUUAUUCACAAGUAUGUGAGCUCGUGUUCUUGGAUUUCUUUUGGAAAGAGGUCAUUUGAUUUUUAGUUUGUUUUAUGUAGCAAGAAUAGAAUACUCUGUUUCGAAUCUUUUCUAGAAGGGUGCCCAUUACGUUUAAAUCUGUUUAUGGUAACAAAUAUCAAGUUCAAAUUUUCGGUUUUUUUUUUCAAAAGAUUUUUGUUUUUUCAGUUUUCUUUGGAUGAAAAAUGUAUAUGUAUCAUUACUAGUCAUCAAGUUUUCAUCUUUUUAUGGUAGAUAUAAGCAGUGCAGAUUUUUAUUCCCUUGUUUGAGAAAUGUAUGAUCAGAUUAAGAUUUUUGUGAUUCUUAAUCUACUUCAUGGCCUCUGGGUUAUGCUUAUAAUUAAACUUUUCUAUGGCUAGACACCAAUUUAGUUGGGAGAGUUCAUUCCACCCUUCUAAUAGAAAUAAAUGUAUAUUGAUUUCAGCCUUUAAAAAUAGGAUUUGGUUCUUUGUAGUCUGACCAAUAUUUUCUGGCCCUGUAAGCUUUAAUUUCUUUCUCAAUUAAUAUGCCUUCCAUUAAAUAUUGUUUGUGCAGUUAUAACUUAAAACGGAUGCCCGGUUUGUUAUGCAUUUUGGAGGCAUUUUUCUUUUUAGUCUUUUUUUUUAGGUUCAACAAUUUGUUUGAGGAUAGUCUUUUUGUGUGUUUUUAUUUGAUAAAGUCUAAAUUUUAGUAGUUUAUUCUGGUAUAAACUAUAGAUUGAGCUUCAUUUGCAAAUUUUAGAAUCAUUUCGUUAAGUGUAUAGAUUCUAUAGAAGGGCUACUAUGUUAAUUUUCGGGAACUUUAUUGUUUCUUUUCUUUUUGAAGACUCUUGAUCAGUUGACACUUUUGGCCACUAGCAGGACUACUUUGAGGGCUUCAAAAUACUGAGCCAUAUUACUAACAUGUAAAAAGUCAUUAGGGGUGUGUAAUUUAGCAGUGUUUUAAGUAUGAAACCCACAGGUCUUAUUUAAAAGAAGUUCAGUGUUUCUCAUUAUAAAGGAAGUAUAGGACUAUAAACCCUGGAUUAAACUUAAAUGUAACUUUCUGCUUUUGUCCCGAUUAUUGGAGCGAUUACUUGUCAGCGGCACACGACAAAAUCAAUGAUCCAUAUAUGUUAUCCAAUUGCUUUUAGCACAAGAUCUUCGCUGUCGAGUUACGACAAAAUCUGUUACUAUUUUAGGAAUUUCUGUCAUUCUUUCCUUAAAAGGCUAGUACAAUCUUUGUCUGCGACUCUAAUGUGUAAUCUGAUGUUUUCAUGGCAACUUGUGCAAGUUCAUUGAAUGGACAUAAUUUGUAUAGUGGUUUGGUUUCAAUGUAAGAUUCUAUUGAAUAUGCUUAGCUGCAGAUGUGUUACACCACCAUGAUGGGGGAGAAAGGAUCUUACAGUGGCAAUUAAGAAGGAAAAUAUCUUAUAGCAACAUGGAUAUGCAUAUGUAAAACCCAUGCCAAUCAUAGAUGGCAAAUGAGCAUCACCAAGCAGCGUUUUAUUAUGUAAAGCCUCGCUCGCUUCUCCCUCAGGACAUUACCUCCUGGAACCUGAACCUUGCAUUGUUUCCCCGUUGGUAGAGGCAGGCAUCCCAUGCCUAAGAGUUCUCUCCUCUUUGCCACUUUCAGCAAUGGUGCUAGAACAAUAAAACCAGAUAUGUUGACUUGUUUCUUCUUCUCUUUUGCUAAGUUCACACUCUCUUUAUGAAUAUUAAAGGGCCUUAUUCAUUCUUAUUUAAGAGUUUAGUCUGACUAUCUGAGGAGGUUACAAAAAGGUGGUUACAAAAUUUUGUCUGCAAGUGCUAAUUAGAUGCAUGUUAAUUUUUUAUGUGACUCCUUGGGAGCUCCGCAUAGAACUAAUAAAAUCAGUUUAACUUCAUUUAAACUACUUCGUUUUGCUGAACCGACUUUUGAAUAGGAGUUUCUUCUGCUGUCUCCUGAAGGACCAAGACAAAUGUUGAUGAGGAAAUUGAGACAAAGUCUUCUCUUUCUCAAAACACUUUUUAGAUGCUAGUUCAUGUUUCUCCAACUUAGGUGACACUUAAAAAGAGUUUCUAAAGGUUCUUUUUAGAAUUUGAGAUCAUGUCACUAAAUUUAUCCUUAUCUAGCUUAAAGUUGUAUUUCAACCAUACAAAAUACCUUUCAAGUGUAGCUAUUUUCCCCAUAUUUGUGACCAGUGUAAGGUUUUUGAGUCAAGAGAUAAUCAAUGCUAGCGUUUUCUUUGCCUGCCCA